rnacentral:rRNA from 1 species
GACGAACGCUGGCGGCGUGCUUAACACAUGCGAGUCGAACGGAAAGGCCCUGCUUUUGUGGGGUGCUCGAGUGGCGAACGGGUGAGUAACACGUGAGUAACCUGCCCUUGACUUUGGUAUAACUUCAGGAAACUGGGGCUAAUACCGGAUAGGAGCUCCUGCUGCAUGGUGGGGGUUGGAAAGUUUCGGCGGUUGGGGAUGGACUCGCGGCUUAUCAGCUUGUUGGUGGGGUAGUGGCUUACCAAGGCUUUGACGGGUAGCCGGCCUGAGAGGGUGACCGGCCACAUUGGGACUGAGAUACGGCCCAGACUCCUACGGGAGGCAGCAGUGGGGAAUAUUGCACAAUGGGCGGAAGCCUGAUGCAGCAACGCCGCGUGCGGGAUGACGGCCUUCGGGUUGUAAACCGCUUUCGCCUGUGACGAAGCGUGAGUGACGGUAAUGGGUAAAGAAGCACCGGCUAACUACGUG